UAAAGAGAACUCUGUCUCCUCUUGUGAUUGAGGAUAUAUAAGACAGACCUGCACAGAGCCUGCUUGAGAGUUCUGGUGUGUCUGCACCAUGGCCUGGACCCCACUCCUCUUCUUUGUCAUCUUUUACUGCAGAGGGUCUCUGUCCCAGCUUGUGCUGACUCAGUCACCUUCUGCCUCUGCAUCCCUCGGAGCCUCGGCCAAGCUCACCUGCACCCUCAACAGUGAAUAUAAACACUAUGGCAUUGCAUGGUUUCAGCAGUACCCGGGGAAGGCUCCUCAGUAUUUGAUGUGGGUUAAGAGCGAUGGAAGCCUCAUUAAAGGAAAUGGAAUUCCUGACCGCUUCUCAGGUUCCAGCUCUGGGACCGAACGCUACUUGACCAUCACCAACAUCAAUUCUGCGGAUGAAGCUGACUAUAUCUGUGGUGCUAAUUACAACAUUGGUGGGUCAUAUGGUUAAGACACAGUGACACAUUCAAA